rnacentral:rRNA from 1 species
AGCAUGUCUGUAGGAGUGGUGGUU